rnacentral:lncRNA from 1 species
GCAUUAUUGUAAAGGAUGAGCUCUAUGGUAAUGUGAAGCUUUGCCUUUGCAGCAAUUGUUUGAAGGGCACUCUCCAGAGCGGGUGAAGAGAAGCAAGCAGGCUCAUAAAAACACUCAAACGUUCUUGGAGUUUGUAUAGCUCCAACUCUCAUUCCAUGCUGCUGCUUGCCUAAGCAUAGCAAGCACUAGAAGAGGCGCCUCUCUGAGGAAAGAGUGGUGAUGUUGGUAAUAUGUACUGAGAAAGCAGCCCUUCAGGUUUGCCAAAGUCAGGCUGGUCUUUCGGUCACCUACUGAUCUCAGUAACUUGAGAAGCUGCGUGUCUUCAAGUCCUUUCAAGCGGAGAUCAGUUACUUCCCCAUCUACUUUCUGUAGGGUUUUCUGUCCCUUCCACAUGCACGUGGAAGCCAGCUGCAGCAUUUCUGCUUUGACACGGAGCAGCCUCGGGUGCCCUUCCUCCAGGCCGUUGUUCUUACAGAGGGCACUGAGGCACAGCACGUCUCGAAAUGAGCGAGGACAACCAGGGACUCUAGAGCUCCUGCUUGAGCUGUCACACCAUCUCCACGCACACUUCCCCUGUGUCAGUCUGAGCCAGCGGGAGCAGAAGGAAUAGAAACAUGAUUUAGCAUUCCUGCAGUGAGGAGUGCUGUAUGCAUGGUGUAAAUACCACGAGUGAAGUUGCACAGGCCUUUUAUUUUAAAAGCGGUAAGCUGGGCCUUUCUGUGAGGCCUAUCCCUGCUCCCCCCGCCGAGGCCUAGCGCUAUAUAAAGAUAAAGCCUAUGAGGAAAAAAAGGCGAGGAUGAGCACUCAGCCUUCCUUUGGCUUUCUGUUGUCUGCAAGGUGAAAGGCUAAAGACUGACCAAGCAGUGGAAAACAGAAGCAAGGAACUUUGCCUAUCAGAGUAUGCACUGAAUGGAACUUUAUGCAGAAUUUUCCAGAUGGGCAGAAUCUUUGUCAUUCACAAACUGUCCCUAUGCAGCCUGGGCCCGGUUCCCCUGAUAUUCAUGAAUUCCUGUUUCUAAACAGACACUUCUUCUAUAAUUGGCCUCAGAGAAAAGACAGCCGGUCAUCUUGGAAUGGAUCAGACUUGGACUCACUUCUAGCCUGGAUAAGGGCCACAGGUACACCCAGCAAAGCGUUACCUCUCACCUGCAAGGAAGAACUGAGUCUCUGUGAAGAGCUGGGUUUAACUGACAUGACCAAAACUCAUUGCCUGGAAGUAAAAAGG